GGCGGACGGGUGAGUAACGCGUGGGUAACCUGCCUCAUACACCGGGAUAACAGUUGAAACGGCUGCUAAUACCGGAUAAGCAUACAGUACCGCAUGGUACAGUGUGAAAAACUCAGGUGGUAUGAGAUGGACCCGCGUCUGAUUAGCUAGUUGGUAGGUAACGGCUUACCAAGGCGACGAUCAGUAGCCGACUUGAGAGAGUGAUCGGCCACAUUGGGACUGAGACACGGCCCAAACUCCUACGGGAGGCAGCAGUGGGGAAUAUUGCACAAUGGGGGAAACCCUGAUGCAGCGACGCCGCGUGAAGGAUGAAGUAUUUCGGGUAUGUAAACUUCUAUCAGCAAGGAAGAAAAUGACGGUACUUGACUAAGAAGCCCCGGCUAAAUACGUGCCAGCCGCCGC
rnacentral:rRNA from 1 species